UAAUGACCCAGAUCUGCUCCUGCAAACUGCCACGGAGCCCAUUAGGAGAGGGCAAACGCAGCUCGGGAAUCCAGCAGCCAAGCAUGGAUGAAACAACAGCAGGGAUCAAACGACACCGAAAUCAAGGCUAUUCCUACCUGGCAGUCAUUGAUUUCCUUCCCCCUUGCUGACAUCACCGCUCCCUUCAGGUUAAUACAUGCACCACUUCCCUUAUCUCUGCUCGGGAUUACCUCAUCGCAGCAAACCCAGCGCUCUCACUCCUGCUCUGCCGAAUGCCAGCACUGUGUUUGAACUGCAACUUCCCAACUGGAGGAAGGAUUUCUCCAGUGCUGUUCCAUCAGAGCUCUGAUCUCCCCCUCACACACUGACACACGGCUCUUUUUCCUUACAGAUCAGCUCUUUGCACUCCAGUGCAUGCUCCUGCUCCACGCAGGACGGAUCGCUCCCUUUGCUUGCAAGCAGGAGCUCCUUGCACGGAUUUCACGCACGCUGCAAACUGCGAAAGUGCUGUGCACACACACACAUACACAAAACUUAGCAUGCAUGCACACCAACAUGUGCAGGAGCACUCACACAACUGCACGCCUCGCUGCUGAAAUGCAACACUUCAAGGGCCCCUCAGCUCCUUUAGCUGUAUGCUAACGCGCUGCAUGCAAACCGUGCCAGUAUAAGCAAGGUGAACGCACACAUAUGCAUGUCACCUUCACAAACGUUCGUAUCCUAAUGAAUUCUGACCAGCUGCUGAUCGUUCUGCCUUAAACAAAGAGAGCUGACAUGCUUUUUAUUUCGGCUGAUCACACCUCAUCCCCAAGAACAGCACCACUGCAAGCCAGUGCCGUCUAUUGGCUACGGCAUAAAUAUUUACAUCCCUCUGCACACACACACACACACACACACACACAGACAGACACAUUUCCAACACACACACCGCAAGCAGAAGGUGAAGCUCUUUGCAGCGCUGCUGUGCGGCCGCAGGAGGCGGUGCAGGUAAUGCACGCACUGCUGCAUGCAGGUGUGGGUGCUCCGGUGCACUUCUGCCUCUCACCCGCACAACCCCACCACGCAACGCUCCGAACAAAGGGAGAAAGAGAAAAAUAAACCCCGCUGCCUUACUUUCUUCCUCUUACUCUUUUUUUUUUUCCUCUCUCUCUUUUUCCUCCUCUAUUUCAGGACUUUCCGCUGGAGGUGAUUACGGAGAGGAACUUAACGCGGCCGGGCGGAGGGGGAGAGCGUUUUGCCGGCGGAGCGGAGCAGGAACAAAAGCCACGGGAGCGGUGCUGAAUAGGUGUCCUCCUAAUUGUCGGGAAUCGUGUGGCUGUGUGUGGCGCGGGCGGGAGGGGCGGUGGGCAGCGGCCUCCCUCCCUCCCCCCCCCUCCCCCCUUCCUGGGGACGGGGUGAGCUCAGAGCAGAGGGCCCCUCCGCUCCCCGCACCGCACCGGGCUGCAGAGCCGAGCGCACGGCCGCACCCCGCAACCGCGUGUGGCCACCGCGGGGACAGCGGGGGUGUAGAGAUGGGGACGGGGAACACAGAGAUGAGGACAGAGGGGAUACAGUGAUGGGGACAGCAGGGGUAAAGUGAUGGGGACAAUGGGGAUACUGCAAUGGGGACAGCGGAAAUACAGCAAUGGGGACAAUGGGGAUACUGCGAUGGGGACAGUGGGGACACAGUGAUGGGGAUACUUUGAUGGGGACAAUGGGGACACAGUGAUGGGGACAGUGGGGAUACUGCAAUGGGGACAAUGGGGACACAGUGAUGGGGACAGUGGGGAUACUGCAAUGGGGACAGCGGGGAUACAGCAGUGGGGACAAUGGGGAUACUGCAAUGGACAGAGCAGGGAUACAGAGAUAAGGACAGCAGGGAUACAGAGAUAAGGACAGCAGGGAUACAGUGAUGUGGACAGUGAGGACACAGCGAUGGAGACAGUGAGGAUGCAGGGAUGGGGACAGAGGGACACAGUGAUGGGGAGGCAGUGAUGGGUACAGUGGGGACACAGUGAUGGGGACACAGCAAUGGGGACAGCAGGGAUACAGAGAUAAGGACAGCAGGGAUACAGUUGCGGGGACAAUGGGAAUACUGCGAUAGGAACAGCGAGGACACAGGGAUGGGGACAGAGGGACACAGCAGUGGGAACAGAGGGGAUACAGUGAUGGGGACUGUGGGAACACAGACAUGGGGACAGCAGGGACACAGUGCUGGGGCCGCCCGGUGCCCUCUCCCUGUUCCUCCCCCUGCUUUGUCUCUGGCCCCGUCUCCCAGCCAGGCAGACACAAAGAGCCUCUGACCCGGGAGGAGAAAUACGCCUUGCAGAGAAAAUCCUCCCCAGCGCCCCGAGAGUGCGGAUGGAAGCGUGGCACCCCGGCUGCUCCCCGUAUCGCUCAGUGCCUCCAAGUGCCACUCAGUGACAUCUCCUCCACACACACCAGGGAAGUGGCGUUUUCCCACAUCCAGGAGAUGUGCCUGAGCUCUUCCUCUGUCUCCACGUCAAAAUAAAGAGGUCCCAAUGGGACGAAUCCCCAGAAGCACAUCCUGAGGCUUCUGGGUCAUGCAGGAGCAAAAAGUCGGAUCUGGGACUUUUUUUCCUGCUCGCUGCUAUCCGUUCCCUCGAGCACUCAUAAAUCCUGGCUGUACCAAUGGGGGCUCAGGGGGGGUAGGCAGGCUGCAGGCCCACAGUGCCCCACAAAUCCUCCUCCUACGUCUGUGUCCAAGCAUCAACAAGCAGAGCAUCACCUCACCAUCCCCUGCUGCUCUGCCACCCUCCCAUGCGGACAGGCAUGGCAACAAGGCCACCUCUCCGCCCUCUGCCCCAUCGGCCUCCCCAGAGAUCUGAAUUCUGCUUAAGCCCUGAUUUCAGCCACAGGUGAGCGCAGCACUGAGGACGCAGCACGGUCCACCCAGAGCAUCCCUCCCUGAGCACGGCGCAGAAGAAACCCCUCUGAGAGCGCUGCACUGGGGAUGCGUUGGGCAGCUCGUUAGCUGCUGGGGUUAACGAGCUGCUCGGUGGGUUCCCUGCAGCCAGGGCUUGGGCACGGGGUGAGCUGCGGGUGCAUCAGGUCGGGAGCGGCUGCACCUCUCUCAGCAUCUGCUCAGCUCUGACACGGUGCUCACUUGGGCUUUUUUUUUUUUUAAUUGUCUUGAUGUCCCUCAUUUGCAUAAUCCCCACAAUGCAGCGCAGCAGGCCUUUUGCUCUGAGCUAAUAAAUAGAUGACAAAAAUAAAUGUGUCAUGUAAGAUUUGCUUCCAUUUCUUUCCCCCUUUGUGAGUGAGCUAUCACCAAGAAAUGAUGCUGGCGGAGCUGAUCUCCCAGGAGCUGUCAGCCUGGACUCAAAGCUUGCUUUGCCCAUGGAACACAACUUGGCCAGAUGUUAGAGUGAGAUGUGCAAGCUGAGAGCUGCAGCGGGAGGAGAUGUCCGCACUCCUCAGCCCCUCUGCAUUGCUCCCUAUAGAGAUGGCCCUGCAAAAUCAGCCCCAGGGCAGCGGGCAAAGGGCAUUCAGACACCCAUUGCUGUGGGUUGCAGCGUGUCCAUGUCCAGGCAGGUGCUGGCAGUGCUCUAUUUUCUGUGAUUUUCUUCAAAAUCAGCUGUCGGUGCUUGCAGUGGAGAUGGCACCAUUUAGGAAAUGAGCUCCCUGAGCCAAGAAGAAGAGUGAUUGCUCAGCUGUGAGCAUCCAAGGGGACACCUGAGGCUGGAACAGCACCACGUGUUUCCUACAGGAUGAUUCCUCCUGCAAGGCUGUAUUUCUCACUUCGAGGAACUUGGCUGGACGGCGCCCAGGGAAGCAAGGGGAACAAACACAAAGUCCUAAAGGAGAGCCUGCAAUCCAUCCCCAGGGCUCUGCAUGGCUGCAUGUCCUCGGGGCUGAGAUCAGGGAUGAACCACCUUACCCAUCUCCAUGCCGUGCAGGAUGUGGAUGUGAGCAGAGAGCAGCAGGACGCAUUGGGUUCCACAAGGUUUAGGAGCUGGUUACUUUGCGCCGGGUGCUGGCAGCUCUGGAGAUCAUCACUUGGGCCAUCUUUUCUCCUCCCCACAGCCCUGUGAGUCAGGAGGAUUCUCAGCUCUUAUAUAAAAGCAUCUCCAACUGUGUUGUUUGUGCCUGAAAACGCGAAUCCUAACAGGUAGGAGCUAGAAGAGAAAUAAAGACCUGAUAAUAUACGAGCUUCCUUUAUUUUUUUUCUUUUCUUUUAGAGCCCUGGCCUGCUUUAAAUCAC
ensembl:lncRNA